rnacentral:misc_RNA from 1 species
UGGCUCUCGCAUCGAUGAAGAACGCAGCGAAAUGCGAUAAGUAAUGUGAAUUGCAGAAUUCAGUGAAUCAUCGAAUCUUUGAACGCACCUUGCGCUCCUUGGUAUUCCUCGGAGCAUGCCUGUUUGAGUAUCAUGAAAUCUUCAAAAUAAAUCUUUCGUUAGUUCGAUCGACUUUGUUUUGGACUUGGGGGCUUGCAGAUUCACGUCUGCUCCUCUUAAAUUCAUUAGCUGGAUCUCAGUGAGCUCGGUUCCACUCGGCGUGAUAAGUAUCACUCGCUGAGGACACUGCCUUAAAAAAACAGUGGCCGGGAUUGCAGACGAACCGCUUCUAAUAGUCCAUUAGCUUGGACAAUAAAUUAAUUUAUGAUCUGAUCUCAAAUCAGGUAGGACUACCCGCUGA